rnacentral:rRNA from 1 species
UACGAAGGGUGCAAGCGUUAAUCGGAAUUACUGGGCGUAAAGGGCGCGUAGGCGGCGUGGUAAGUCACUUGUGAAAUCUCUGAGCUUAACUCAGAACGGCCAAGUGAUACUGCUGUGCUAGAGUGCAGAAGGGGCAAUCGGAAUUCUUGGUGUAGCGGUGAAAUGCGUAGAUAUCAAGAGGAACACCUGAGGUGAAGACGGGUUGCUGGGCUGACACUGACGCUGAGGCGCGAAAGCUAGGGGAGCAAACGGG